UAUAUUUGUUUUAUUUUUAAUUUUAUUGACCAGGCUAAUAAAUACCCUAGGGUUACCCACCCAAAUCUGUAUUAAUUUCACUUUUUCAUACAAUACAAACCAGUUAAAUAAUUUUAUCAAACAUUCGUUUAGAAAGUAAGUACAAUAUACACCCUCUUAAUACAUGCUGCAAUACAUGCCCAUAGUGUACAAUUUAAUUCAGGAAAAAAAAAUUAUAUAUAAGAAGAAAUGAUGUCUCAAAAAUAUUAUUAAAAUCUAGAAACAAGCCUAAUAAUAUUGAAAUUAGAUUAGUAUGAUAUGAUAAUAUUAUUGAAAAUAAGUACACAAGAAGGGGCAACCUUAUUGCUCACUUUCUGUCUCUGACUGCUUAAAGAAAACAUGGGCAUCGCCGCCUCAAAGGCAGCAGUUUCCAAUAUUAGCAUAGCGUCGCGGGCGGGCCGCUGAAAUAGGCUCCACUAUGGACCACCGCCUACUUCUCGUGCGGGUCACCAUUUUUUAAAACGCAGACAAAAUAAGAUCAAACGACAGCAACAAAUUUUAGAAUCCCACAAGGCACGAGCUGGCGAGCUGCUCCUUGCCGGCUGGCGUGUCAGAUUAAGCGCGUGUACUGCACCUGGGGUCGGUGAUCACGUGCGUUUGUUGUCCGGAGAGAGAGGCAGGGAGAGAUGGCUCUGGAACACUGAAACCGAGUACUCUCUGAAGUUUCGUCUUGGGAAUUUACGCCAAUCUUGGCCGUUGAUUGUGUGGAAAGUAGGCGAUUUCGCGUCCGUUGAUUUGGCGAAUUUUUUUUGGCUAAUUGGUGAAAAUGAAAUUCCAAUGUAAUAAUGAAACAUAUUAUUGCGCAAUCCAGAAGAUGAAUAUGGCUCUUUCCGUUUUUGUCUUUUUCAUUUUUCCCGGAAACUGUGAUUCCAUGAAUAUGGACAUUGAAUGUAAACAAGUUGAGUCCACUUGGUCGUUGAAUAUUUGGGGCAUAAAUUUGAUUGAUUAAUUAACUAAUUAAUUAAUUGCAGUCAUGUCAAACGAAAGAUAGCUAAAACUUAUUCCUCA
rnacentral:lncRNA from 1 species